CAGGCCUACACAUGCAAGUCGAGCGGUAGAGAGAAGCUUGCUUCUCUUGAGAGCGGCGGACGGGUGAGUAAUGCCUAGGAAUCUGCCUGGUAGUGGGGGAUAACGUUCGGAAACGGACGCUAAUACCGCAUACGUCCUACGGGAGAAAGCAGGGGACUUCGGGCCUUGCGCUAUCAGAUGAGCCUAGGUCGGAUUAGCUAGUUGGUGAGGUAAUGGCUCACCAAGGCGACGAUCCGUACUGGUCUGAGAGGAUGAUCAGUCACACUGGAACUGAGACACGGUCCAGACUCUACGGGAGGCAGCAGUGGGGAAUAUUGGACAAUGGGCGAAAGCCUGAUCCAGCCAUGCCGCGUGUGUGAAGAAGGUCUUCGGAUUGUAAAGCACUUUAAGUUGGGAGGAAGGGCAGUUACGUAAUACGUGAUUGUUUUGACGUUACCGACAGAAUAAGCACCGGCUAACUCUGUGCCAGCAGCCGCGGUAAU
rnacentral:rRNA from 1 species